rnacentral:rRNA from 1 species
UGGGGAAUAUUGCACAAUGGGCGAAAGCCUGAUGCAGCGACGCCGCGUGAGGGAUGACGGCCUUCGGGUUGUAAACCUCUUUCAGCAGGGAAGAAGCGAAAGUGACGGUACCUGCAGAAGAAGCGCCGGCUAACUACGUGCCAGCAGCCGCGGUAAUACGUAGGGCGCAAGCGUUGUCCGGAAUUAUUGGGCGUAAAGAGCUCGUAGGCGGUUAGUCGCGUCUGCUGUGAAAACUCGAGGCUCAACCUCGGGCUUGCAGUGGGUACGGGCUGACUAGAGUGCGGUAGGGGUGACUGGAAUUCCUGGUGUAGCGGUGGAAUGCGCAGAUAUCAGGAGGAACACCGAUGGCGAAGGCAGGUCACUGGGCCGCAACUGACGCUGAGGAGCGAAAGCAUGGGGAGCGAACAGGAUUAGAUACCCUGGUAGUCCAUGCCGUAAACGUUGGGCACUAGGUGUGGGGUCCAUUUCCACGGAUUCCGUGCCGCAGCAAACGCAUUAAGUGCCCCGCCUGGGGAGUACGGCCGCAAGGCUAAAACUUAAAUGAAUUGACGGGGUCAUAGCUGUUUCCU